GGCUUCGUAGCUUGGUGGAAGGAAGCGCUCGUCUAGCGAAUUGGGAGUCGUGGGUUCGAUUCCCACCGGAGCAC
rnacentral:tRNA from 1 species